GAGUUUGAUCCUGGCUCAGGAUAAACGCUGGCGGCGUGCAUAAAACAUGCAAGUCGAACGGGUAGCUUCGGCUACCAGUGGCGGACGGCUGAGUAACACGUAAGUGACCUACCCUUGAGUGGGGAAUAACUGCUCGAAAGAGUGGCUAAUACCGCAUACGCUCGCCUCUUCGGUUAGACGAGUAAAGCCGCAAGGCGCUCGAGGAUGGGCUUGCGGCCGAUUAGCUAGUUGGCGGGGUAAGGGCCCACCAAGGCGAUGAUCGGUAGCUGGUCUGAGAGGAUGAUCAGCCAGACUGGGACUGCGACACGGCCCAGACUCCUACGGGAGGCAGCAGUUAGGAAUUUUGCGCAAUGGACGAAAGUCUGACGCAGCAACGCCGCGUGGAGGACGAAGGCCCUCGGGUCGUAAACUCCUUUUCCAGGGGAAGAUGGUGACGGUACCCUGGGAAUAAGCCCCGGCUAACUGCGUGCCAGCAGCCGCGGUAAUACGUAGGGGGCGAGCGUUGUCCGGAUUUACUGGGCGUAAAGAGCGCGUAGGCGGCUCAUCUAGUCGUGCGUGAAAUACCUCGGCUCAACCGGGGGGUGUCGUGCGAUACUGGUGGGCUUGAGGCUGGUAGGGGGAAGUGGAAUUCCCGGUGUAGUGGUGGAAUGCGUAGAUAUCGGGAGGAACACCAGUGGCGAAGGCGGCUUCCUGGACCAGUCCUGACGCUGAGGCGCGAAAGCGUGGGGAGCGAACUG
rnacentral:rRNA from 1 species